rnacentral:rRNA from 1 species
GGACCUGCCCGGUGACUAGUAUGUUAAACGGCCGCGGUACCCUAACCGUGCAAAGGUAGCAUAAUCAUUUGCCUUUUAAUUGGAGGCUUGUAUGAAUGGUUUGACGAGAGCUAAGCUGUCUCUUUUUUAAUAUUUAGAAAUUAACUUUUAGGUGAAGAGGCCUAAAUUUAUUUGAGGGACGAGAAGACCCUGUUGAGCUUUAAUGGUUAUGUUAAAAUUUUACUAUCAGUUAGUUUAAGAUUAAUUAGUCUUAUCUUACAGAAAUAUUAUUUAUUUAAGUAAAAUAUUGUUUUAUCAUGAAUUUUUAGUUGGGGCGACUGAGGAACAAAUAAAGCUUCCUUUGAUUUUUAAUGUUGAUUAUAAAAUAAUGUUAACGGAUUAAGAGGAUCCAGUAUUUACUGAUUAAAGGAAGAAGUUACCACAGGGAUAACAGCGUAAUCUUUCUGGAGAGAUCUUAUCGAAAGAAGGGUUUGCGACCUCGAUGUUGGACUAAGAUAUCCUAAGGGUGUAGAAGCUCUUAAUGGUUGGUCUGUUCGACCAUUAAAAUCUUACGUGAUCUGAGU